GCCCCUGUAGUUCAACGGAUAGAACGAGGGACUUCUAAUCCCUAAAUCGAGGUUCAACUCCUCGCGGGGGCA
rnacentral:tRNA from 4 species